rnacentral:rRNA from 1 species
GACGAACGCUGGCGGCGUGCCUAACACAUGCAAGUCGAACGGAGAUUUCAGCAAUGGAAUCUUAGUGGCGAACGGGUGAGUAACGCGUAGACAACCUGCCUUCUAGAUGGGGACAACACUGCGAAAGUGGUGCUAAUACCGAAUGUUGUAUUGAGAAUGCAUAUUUUUGAUACUAAAGAUGGCCUCUAUAUAUAAGCUAUCGCUAGAAGAUGGGUCUGCGUCUGAUUAGCUAGUUGGUGAGGUAAUGGCUCACCAAGGCGACGAUCAGUAGCCGGUCUGAGAGGAUGAACGGCCACACUGGGACUGAGACACGGCCCAGACUCCUACGGGUGGCUG